UACGAAGGGUGCAAACGUUGCUCGGAAUUAUUGGGCGUAAAGCGCACGUAGGCGGCUUUGCAAGUCCCAUGUGAAAUCCCACGGCUCAACCGUGGAAGUGCAUGGGAAACUGCAGAGCUUGAGUACUUAAGAGGAUCGCGGAAUUCCCGGUGUAGAGGUGAAAUUCGUAGAUAUCGGGAGGAACACCGGUGGCGAAGGCGGCGAUCUGGGAAGAUACUGACGCUGAGGUGCGAAAGCGUGGGGAGCAAACAGG
rnacentral:rRNA from 1 species